AAAAGCCACUAAAACAGUACAAAAUCUAAAUAAAUUUCUGGUUAUUUGUAGUUUUAAUUAAUUUCCCCUCCAGCAGUAAUUUAGCUGAUGAUUACUGUCACUUUUUAGGUGGGGAGGGAUGGGAGAGGAGAAGGGCGCUUGGUUUGGCUACAGUUAAAAACAUUAUGGUAUUUCAAUUCCUCCUUUCACUGAUUUUAUGUGUAGACAAGGCCUUCGGGAUAAGGUGGUAUAAAUAAUCAUAGGAUAGGCACAGUUUAUACUGAAGCAUAAGUAUUCAUAUUGAAAAAUGUUUUCUGCAUGCCAUUUAACGAUGUCACAGUAUGAUGUUUUAAAGAUUAAUCUGUUUAAUCAGGGCAUAUCAGAGAAACUUGUAGAUUGUUUUCUGCAGUGUUACAAUGUCAAGUGGUAUUACGGUUUUUUUUCUAUUGUUAUAGCCAGUGCACAAUUCUUACUAAUGUUGAUUUUAAAAAGGAAUAAUGCUAUAAUCCCUUGUAAAUAUGUGUAUGUCUUAAAUAUCUUAAACUAAAUGCCAUAUAUUUCAAGCUUGUUUCCUAUUCUCAAUGUCAAGGAAAAUCAAACAUUUGCCUAUUAUGCAUCUACUUUUAAUGGUCUUUGGUUGGUUUUAUAUUCAUUGUUUUAAAAGCUUUACACUUUUUGGUGUGAGAACUUCAUUUGAAAGUCUUUUACAUAAUUAUCUACAAUUAUACUUGGUUUUUUUAAGGUAAAUAUUCUUUAAAAUAUCAGAAACUAGCUUAUGAUUUUAUAUUUUGUCAUAUUUAAUUCCUAUUUUAUGAAUAAGCCAUUCUCUGUUUGGGUCAAGUAAAAAGCCUUCAUUUGAUUACUAACUUGAGAAAUAAAUCAUUUUGGCUUCUGCUUUAUAUCAAAACUUUCAAUAAUUUUUUUCCCUAAUUAUGUGGAAGCUAGUGUAACUUUUGUACUCAAAACUAAAUUCUAAGGGGAGUAUAAUAGUUAAAUUUUUCAGUGACUGCCUAUAGGAGUGAUUAUUAUUAGAACGAGAUUCUAUUUAUAAAUCUGUAAUCUUUAUGUAGUGAUUAUCACCUGCUUCAUUGUUACUUUUACAGUAAGCUAUUAAACUAGUUUUUAUGCUUCAAAUAAUGCAAUACAAAUCAUAAGAACACACUGAAUGAUGGAUUGCUUGAUUGUAUAUUACAUGUAGUUUAGGAAUAUUUGGGUUGCUUUGAAGUAACCCAGUUUUAAGUUCUCAUUUUGACUUUUUCAAUUGCCAAACAUAUUCCAAUACCUACUGUAUGUGAACAGGUAUUGUGCUAAGUGUUAUUUUGUGUCAGGCUAUUUCUCCCUUUUUUUGAACACAUCAGAUGUAGCCAAAAAACAUGACACUUAAGUGAAGUUUUUUAAAUAAAUGUGUUUAUGCCACUAAAA